rnacentral:lncRNA from 1 species
CUGCUGACGGGCUAUAGGAUACUAGCUCUGGCUCCUGGACACUACCUAGCUCAACCUAGCUUACGCCUCUGCUCUGCCUGUUGCAUGUACGCAAAUAGCAGUGAUUGUCGGUUUUUAUUGCUUUUCGAAGUUUUUUUGAUACUAUAUAAGUUGUUUAAAUAGUUAUUGUAAUUUUGUGUCAUAUUUCUUACCUUGUUUUCACAGUACUUUAAUUGCAGUAUUAUUAGACAACGGUUUUCGGUGCCUUUUCUUUUUGAUUCUAGUACAUUCUUUUUUCUGUAAGUAUUUGCAGUUGCACAUUAGCUUUUUUAUUCAAUUACUAUUUUUUAUCAUUCCUUUGUAAUAAAUCUUUUUUCUCUAUUCUUAAUUUUUGGAGCAUGGAUCAUAGUAGAGCUUUAAAAAGAUCAAAAUUUUGUCGUGAUUGGUUGGAAAAUGUUAAUUACAAAUCUUGGAUUCAAGAAGUUCCAAAUAACAAUUGUUCAUAUUUUUGUGUUGUUUGCCAAAAGACGUUUUCUUGCAAUUCACGAGUUUCUAAGCAUGCCGAAUCAGAGAUGCAUCGAAAAAAUAUGUUGGAUAAUUCUACUAAAGUAGCAACAACUAAGGACUCUCACAAGAGGGAAUUUUGCUAUUCAUGGCUUGAAAAUAAAAAAUUUAAGCCAUAGCUAGUGAAAAUCUCAAAUGAUCCAUUUCAUUGUUUUUGCUCCUUUUGCAAUUCAACAUUUCGAUGUGGUCUCGAUGCGCUUAAGCGGCAUUGUGACACAAAGAAACAUAUUUCUGAGUGUGAAAAAAGAAACUUAAAUAUAUCUGAUGAAGAAUCGACUACGUCUUUUGAAGAUCGAAAAAAAAUCGCGGAAGUGAAAUUUGCAGCGUUAAUUGCCGAAAAAAACAUUCCCUUUCAAACGGCAGAGUCGAUUUUGAGCUUCUUUCAAGACCUUGGGAAAGAUCCCGAAGUCUUGCAAAGUAUGACGAUGAAUCGGAAAAAGGCACCACAAAUUAUAAAUAAAGUUUUAUGUACUCGCGAACAGGAACGAUUAGUUGAUACUUUGAGACAUAAUAAAUUUUCGAUUUUUAUAGACGAAACUUCAGAUAUAACUAAUGAUAAAUGGAUAACGUUUCUUGUUCAAUAUGUCGAUCCUCAGACUUUGGAUGUUCGAGUAAAAUUAUUAGAUUUAAUUCAUUUGGACGCGAGUGAUUGUAGUGCCGCAAAAUUAUUUAAAACUUUUAGAAACAAAAUGUGGAAGAACCAAAUUCCGUUUGAAAACAUUCUUGCUCUUUCCUAUGAUAACGCCUCCGUUAUGGUAGGAAAAUAUCAAUCUUUUAAAGUACAUUUAGAACAAUAUUGUAAAAAUUUAAUAACGAUGCCAUGUCCAUGUCAUUUAUCUGCAUUAGUAGUAAAUGCAGCUUGCACAGCAAUUCCUGAAGCAUGCGAGGAAUUUUUACGAAAAGUGGCAUCGUUUAUAUCUAGCAAUUCCAAGCGCUCUAAUAUAUUUAAACAAUUAGCAUUUAAUAAUGAUAGUGCCAGAAAAGUUUUAAAAUUAUCUGAAACGCGAUGGCUCUCUCGUCAUUCAUGUAUAGUAAGAAUCAAUGAAAAUUGGGAUGUGCUACUGAAAUUUUUACAAGAAGAACAAUCGAACGAGAAAUCAAAGUUUGGAUCUGCUUUACUGUCGACAAUGAUGAAUCCAGAAAUUCGAGCAUAUCUUUUGUUUCUUGAAUAUAUUCUUGAUGCUUUUAAUAAGUAUAACACAUUUUUCCAAGCUCAUGAAACAAAAAUUCAUUUACUUCAGUUGGCCGCGGAAAAUGUUUUGAAAACCGUUCUUUGUAACGUUGUAAAAGACCCGUUAUUAAAUUUUGCUGAGAGCGGUUUUAUUAAUCCAUUACUCGAGUGUAAUCGGCAAUCUUCUGAUCAAGUUCUGGUUGGUCAAGCUUGCCAAGACUUUCUUGAUCAAUUAGAACAUGAAGGUCACAGCGAAAUUGUCAAAUCAGUUUAUGCCAAUUGUUUGCAAUUCUACAACAUCGCUGCAAAAGAAAUUCGCGAAAGGAUUUUUGUUAAAGAUGAAUUUCUUAACAAAUUGCAAAUUUUUGAACCGAAAUAUGCUCUGCAGCAAGAAAACAAAGAAAACAAAUCAAACAAUUCCAUUAUUCAGGAUGUUCUCUUUGUUGCCAAACGAUUCGGUGGAUUUAAUGAGAAAAUGCUGCGAACAGAAUGGCAAUCUCUAACUCUAGAUUUUACAUUCGAACAGAAAGCAAAAAUUAUUGAUUACUAUAAUUUCGACGAGGCAUGGAAAACAAUAGGGACAUGUAAGGACGCGAAUGAAAAAUUUAAAUAUCCAACAAUUACCAGAUUAAUUAGUGCAAUUCGAUCUCUUCCAAAUUCUAAUGCUGAAGCCGAAAAAAUGUUUUCCAUGCUGAUAGACGUAAAAACAAAGAAACGCAAUAAAUUUUCUCCGAUUCACGUUCAAGUUCAGUGUGUAUUUAAAUCAAAUCUGAAGACAAGAGGAGAAACGGCUCGAACCAUGAAAGUUGAUGCUCGACAUUUAGCUCUCAUGUCAUCUAAGAAUUUGUAUAAAACAAAUGUCAAACAAGAUAUUAGCUUUUUACGUUCGUUUGAUACAAAUGAUUCUGAUGAUGCCGAUUAUCCUUGUACGUCCUCCGAUUUAUAGUUGAGUAUCUCAAAAGUCAAACUGAUUAUUUUUUUUUUUUUAGUUUUACAUUUAAUUUAUAUAUUUUAUAUUUUAUUUAUUUUAUAUAAUUUUGUUUUUAAUGUUUUAUUUUGUAUUAUUUAUUUAUUUAUUUAAUAAUUUGUUAUUUAAUUUUAAUAAUUUAAUAUUACAACAUAAUUAGUUUAACUGCUAAGAGGCUCAAUUAUAGCUUAAAUGGGUUGGUGGCAAUUGCUUUGUUUUUAACGCAUGAGUUUCAGCCAGAACGACGGCUUUGACACGUAUUAUAUUAUCACUGUAAUUUAGUAUAAUUCACAAUUAUAGUAGAUGAUUUAUUACAUGGUCUCUUGUCAAAACAAUGGGAUGAAUGUGUCUACUUCCAAAGAACCGCCUUGGCUUUACGAAAUGUCAUUAUAAGACACGGUAGUGUUUUGCGCCAGCAAGUUAAUAAUAUAUGAGAGUGAAUCUGCAUAAACCCACCUUUCUCUAUAAAAUAAACAGCAAUAUAAAAUAUAUGCUGUAUAAAAGCUGAAGAAAGAGAGCCGAUUACUCUCCAAGAAAAGCCUUGGCUCUGCAAAUUAGUUAUUUUGGAAGUGACGUAUUAAUUCAUUGAAUUGAGCUAUUAACUCAUUAAAGAUUAUCUAAACAAUGAGUGAAAAAAGUUGAGGUGUUUGACAUGAGUCAUAAUUUUUAUUAUGUUAAUCUGGUUAAUUUAAUCUUAUUCCACGUAGUUUAUAUAGAGAUAACGUUUACAUAUUAUAAAUAAUCAUGGCAAGAUUAUUACGAUUCGCAAUGUAAUAUAUUUGUGGAAAUAACUUGAAAAUCUUGGUUUUGAAUAUUUGAAUUUACGAAUAAUCAAGAUCCACUUGAAAAUAUUUUUUAUAUGAUACGACAACAUGGUAUUUCGAAUUCCAAUGCGACCUGUCAUCAAUUUAUUACUGCUUUGAAAACAAGAGUACUAAAUAAUUUGGUUGCGCCAGUAUCGAAAUUUGCUAAUUGCUAAGAAGACAAUUUUAAAAAACUUGAAAAAUUUUCAAUGUUUUUUAAAUAUUAGUUCCAGAAAUGUACGUGAAGAAACUGAAUUGUUUAAUAGCGUUGAGACACGAACUUUAAACUGGAUCAAUUUCAACGAAAUAAAUAUUCAAAACUGUUUUGCUCUUUUAUAUGUAUCGGGUUAUCUUACUUAAAAAAUGCAUAUUUACAGAUAAAUAUUGUCCUAAUUAUCAAGGUGAUUUGUUUUCGACACAAUAUCAACGUCAUUGUUUACAACUUUUAAAGAACACGAAGAAAAUGUCUCUUUGACGUAUGCAAGCGAUCGGGUACUUGGAUUAGUCGAAAAUACCUUUUUUUUAAUGAAAAUAGACACAUAUCUUGUUUAGAAUCAAUUUUUAAGAUUUUUUUUUAAUUCUACUACUGACUCCUGUGAUAUUCAUCGCUGUGAUACCUUAAUUAUUAAUUGAUAAGGCUAUAAACGUUUUUAAUAUUUAAAUAUAUGUUAAAGAUUGUAAACAAUAACAAGCGCUAAGUUCCGGCCGGUCAUUACAAGAAAAUGAUAAAUUUUAAAUCGGCGCAAUAAUAUUUUCUGAUACUUUUGUAUGUACAUUUGGUAUGUGUGGAGGGAGCAGGAUGUGAAUGUAUGUAUGUGGGUAAAUUGUGGUGCGUUUUUUAGGGCGCAUAUAUUAACAUAGGUGUACAUAUUCUUAUACACUCGUAAAGGAUUUUAUAUUAAAAAUUUUGUUUGUAAGUAUGCUCAGUAGAGAAUAUAUAUAAAAAAUAUAUACAAAAAGUAAUAUAUUAAAUCAUACAUUCCAUUUUAUGGACUGCAAUGUGUAUCAUUUUACUUUUAUUCUUUUUUUUAAAAUGUAAUUAAAAUAAAAUCUAUAAAAAAGCAAUUGUUACAUAUCUUAACGUACAUGUACGUUUCUAUAAAAGAUAUUUUUCCAAAACUUUUAAUUCACCAAGAAAAGUUAUAAAUAAUUAUUAGAAGUAAAUAUCCUUUCUAAUAAGGCACAUAUUUUAUGCAACUUAUGGGUAAAUAAUGCACAUCAAAGUUUUUUAUACCAUUGUCGAUUCUUAAGAAUAGAUGUUACAUUUUAGAUUUUACAUUCAGUAAUGUUUUCAUUUCCUUACCGAGCAUAUCUCUUAUAUGUUUUUAUAAGUAAAAUGUACUAAUACUUUUAGUUAACCAUAAAUAUUUAAAGCUUGCACCAUCUCAUAAUAUUCAAAAAAGGACAUAUACAUUUCAAAAAAAAAUAUAUAUACGUAUAGAUAUAGGUAUAAAUAUAAAUAAAUAUAGUAUUAAAGAUAUAACAUUUGUUUGAUUUUUGUAUUCAUACUUUUAGAAGCGUUGUGGUAUUUUAUUUUGUACAGCGUUUAUAACUUUUGAAUCUGCUGCUCUGAAUUAUUGUAAGCAACAUUAGUCUUAUCCUUUGACAUUUUUCUAAUAUGUUUUUGAUAUUUAAAAAUAUAUGCUAAUCACUUUCA